CCGGCGAGUGGCGCACGGGUGAGUAACGCGUGGGGAUCUGCCUCGAAGUGGGGAAUAACCGCUGGAAACGGCGGCUAAUACCGCAUACGCCCUCAGGGGGAAAGCUUUAUGCGCUUCGAGAUGAACCCGCGUCGGAUUAGCUAGUUGGUGAGGUAAAAGCUCACCAAGGCGACGAUCCGUAGCUGGUCUGAGAGGAUGAUCAGCCACACUGGGACUGAGACACGGCCCAG
rnacentral:rRNA from 1 species